UGCCCCGUGCCCCGGGCUCCGCCGCUCCCGGGAGCGUUGCCCGGGCCCGCAGCUCUCGGCGCCCUGUCCUGGGCUCUGUGAGACGCUUCGAGGCUCUGAAGGAGCCGAAGGGAGGGAUGAAAGAGCGAAACGGGAGGAACGUCCCCGGUUUGUGCUGAGCCCUUACAAAGAGCCUGUGGCCUGAGGAAAUGCAAACCUGCCUGGAAGUGCUUGCGAAGUCCUGGUUACCGGGAAUCCCCCUUUUCAAAUCGGGCAAGUUCUAGAUGCCCAGGAGGUCUGUAAAAUUGAUUUAGUGUUUUCUGGGUAAGUUUCAUCCAACAUCCCUUUUACCUUCCAGCUUGUUGACCUGCUGGAAGGAAGGACCUAGCGCGUCUGAAGGUAGAACUCGUGGCCGGUUCUCCAGAAAGGAUGUGUUCUAAAGCGGUGCAGCUGUGUGGUGUGUGGCUGGCUCUUCUGCAGAUGUGCAGGUCUAUCUCUUCCAGUUCAAAGCCCUCUUGGUGCACCACUAGCUCCAUCUAUUGCCAGUCAGUGGCUGGCGGAGAUUCACAUAAAUGCUGAUUUCUCCCUCAGCUUUUUAGCCCUUCAGUGCAGGUGUUCUCAGGGCCACUGAACCCUGGCACCUCCCCUGUGUUCCCCUGGGCAGAUGAUGGGGCAAUGAGGAGGUCACUGGGUGUGCACCCACUGUCCUGGGCUUGUGGGAACAUCAUGUGGUGGUCCUGUUUGAAGAACUUGAUAAGUCUAAAAGCAUUUAGAAGAAAGCACACUGGGGAAAAGUGUCAAGGUGAGUGAAUGUUUCAGGUUCUGGGCCGAUAGGAAGGAGAGGCUGUGGGCUCUGCAGACACAGCAAACUGCUCAGCAGGCUCCUUAGCAUGGAAAGGUUGUCUUUGCACUGUCUGAAAUAUCCUCUUGGAAAAUCUAGGGCCACCCACUUUUCAGAUCUUACUUGAACCUGGUAUGAUGGACUGUGCUGAAGCCUGAAGAAUGCAAACUUAUCUUUCUUUUUUAAAGCAGUCCUGGAGUCUGUUUCAGGCCCUAGCAAAGCUGUUUAUCAUGUACAGAAAAUCUGACAGGAAGUUAAAUAGCACUCCAGACGCAUUUUUUUAAAACUUACUUGGGAUUCAAGGAAUGUGAGUGUUUUUUCUCAACAGGUGGGCAUUCAGAUUGUGUGUGUCUGUAAUGUAUGAACCCCCAGGUAUUCUGGUGUCUGCAUGUAUACCCUGCCUGGUUUCCCAGUGUUGCAUUCAGUGCUUUCUUUGUGCCUUAGUGCCAAAUGACAUCUUCAAUUCUUGGGCCUUAUUUAAAGAGAUGUUGGGCAACUUGGAAUGUUUAACAAAAGCUUCAGUACAAUUUUACUCUAGGAGGCUGGUACCUGCUCUGCAGCAAGAGACAAACACCCUGCUUCUUCAGGGUAACAAGUGUAAAUCAUCAGCUUUUUGCUCUCUAGAAUAAGGGAACUGCAAAAAGUAAAGUUUUAGCAGAUGAGGCUUUAGAUCCUGGUUUUGUGUAAGGGUUAGAGUGAUGGGCAGAGGGUUCCCAUUGUUCCAGCACUCUGAGGGAAUAACUUGGCACCUAGUGCUGAUUGUUGCAGGUUUUGGAAGGACAGCCAGCCCUGCUGGCCACAGCCAGCCCAGCAGCAGAGCCUGCAGCACCUGCAGGGACACGGAUCCCAGGGUAGUGCUGGGGGGUGUGGGG